AUUGAACGCUGGCGGCAUGCUUUACACAUGCAAGUCGAACGGUAACAGGGAGCUUGCUCCGCUGACGAGUGGCGAACGGGUGAGUAAUGCAUCGGAACGUACCCAGUCGUGGGGGGAUAACGUAGCGAAAGUUACGCUAAAUACCGCAUACGUCCUGAGGGAGAAAGCGGGGGACCUAAGGCCUCGCGCGAUUGGAGCGGCCGAUGUCGGAUUAGCUAGUUGGUAGGGUAAAGGCCUACCAAGGCGACGAUCCGUAGCGGGUCUGAGAGGAUGAUCCGCCACACUGGGACUGAGACACGGCCCAGACUCCUACGGGAGGCAGCAGUGGGGAAUUUUGGACAAUGGGCGAAAGCCUGAUCCAGCCAUGCCGCGUGAGUGAAGAAGGCCUU
rnacentral:rRNA from 1 species